UACGUAGGGGGCAAGCGUUGUCCGGAUUUAUUGGGCGUAAAGAGCGUGUAGGCGGCCAGGUAGGUCUGCUGUGAAAACUCGAGGCUUAACCUCGAGCUGUCGGCGGAAACCUCUGGCUAGAGUCCGGAAGAGGAGAAUGGAAUUCCUGGUGUAGCGGUGAAAUGCGCAGAUAUCAGGAAGAACACCAAUGCGAAGGCAGCUCUCUGGG
rnacentral:rRNA from 1 species